rnacentral:rRNA from 1 species
UGGGGGAUAUUGCACAAUGGGCGAAAGCCUGAUGCAGCGACGCCGCGUGAGGGAAGACGGCCUUCGGGUUGUAAACCUCUGUCUUUGGGGACGAUAAUGACGGUACCCAAGGAGGAAGCUCCGGCUAACUACGUGCCAGCAGCCGCGGUAAUACGUAGGGAGCGAGCGUUGUCCGGAAUUACUGGGUGUAAAGGGAGCGUAGGCGGGAAUGCAAGUUGGAUGUGAAAACUCCGGGCUUAACCCGGAGACUGCAUUCAAAACUGUAUUUCUUGAGUGAUGUAGAGGCAGGCGGAAUUCCUAGUGUAGCGGUGAAAUGCGUAGAUAUUAGGAGGAACACCAGUGGCGAAGGCGGCCUGCUGGGCAUUUACUGACGCUGAGGCUCGAAAGUGUGGGGAGCAAACAGGAUUAGAUACC